CAAAUCAUAACAUUGCUCUAUCAGGUACGACGCAUCGGGAGGGGAAGUGAUUUGGUGACGUCAGUGUAAAUCGAGCGAAUCGAGAAUUUACAGUGUAGCAAUUGUUCCAUUUGUCGUCAGUUGACUUGUUAAGCUAUUUUUUUCUCUGUUCGUGAAUAAAAUGUGCAAAUUGGUGGAAAUUUUGUGCAGGAAUGGCUACCAUCAGGAUAUUAAACGAUAAAGGAAAUCCAGAGAAAAGUGGCUAAAGGAGUGUUUGUGUUGCGACUGUGAUUCUUCACAAUCAACAGCCAAUCCAGCAAGUCGAGGAUCAUGAGGAAGCUGGUGGUAUUCCUCCAAGACCACCCCAACAGGAAGGUUCAAAAGUGGAAGCUGCGAUAAAGCAAAUUCUGCGAGAGAUAAGCAUAUGAAAAUCUCCUAUUUGCCAAUAAUUUCUUCCGGAAAGAAGACUUCCACAGUCUAAUAAAUUUCUGAUCAAAUGGGCAGAUUCGAAGAUCUAUUGGACUUCGAGGAAGGAGUAGGGAGAUUUCCUCAAACUACUUUCAAAUAUUUCAAUUUAAACCCACCAAAUACUGCAAAAAUCAGCAAAGAAUAUUUUCAAAAUUUCAACACUCUGUAUUAAAAUUUAUUUAGUAUUUUCCUGAGUGACUGUUGAAAAGAGUUAAAAGUGAUCGAUCAUGCUCAUCACCAAGAUAAUCACGAUAAUCCUUAGAAAUAAACGGAAAUAAAUCACCAAGGAAAUAAUUUUAGAAAGAUGCCAAUAAAUUA